rnacentral:rRNA from 1 species
GACGAACGCUGGCGGCGUGCCUAAUACAUGCAAGUAGAACGCUGAAGGAGGAGCUUGCUUCUCUGGAUGAGUUGCGAACGGGUGAGUAACGCGUAGGUAACCUGCCUGGUAGCGGGGGAUAACUAUUGGAAACGAUAGCUAAUACCGCAUAAUAGUAGAUGUUGCAUGACAUUUGCUUAAAAGGUGCAAUUGCAUCACUACCAGAUGGACCUGCGUUGUAUUAGCUAGUUGGUGGGGUACGGCUCACCAAGGCGACGAUACAUAGCCGACCUGAGAGGGUGAUCGGCCACACUGGGACUGAGACACGGCCCAGACUCCUACGGGAGGCAGCAGUAGGGAAUCUUCGGCAAUGGACGGAAGUCUGACCGAGCAACGCCGCGUGAGUGAAGAAGGUUGUCGGAUCGUAAAGCUCUGUUGUAAGAGAAGAACGAGUGUGAGAGUGGAAAGUUCACACUGUGACGGUAUCUUACCAGAAAGGGACGGCUAACUACGUG